UUCGUUAAAAAAUUUUACUUUGAUAUACUUUGGCCCACGUGCUAUUGGUAGGCGGUAGGCCACGGGUCGUGUGCUUAGCUCACCAAUGAAGCAUGUUUAUUACGUUCCUUUUCGCGUGUCGUGCUUUGGCACAUCUCUAAUCGUGUCGUACUUUAAGGGCCGCAUGCCUAAAAUUCUAGGUGCGGCACGGCACGCUGCGUGCCGUACCAAAACGUGCUCGUGUCAUGCCAUGCCGUACGGACACGUGCCUUGCCUCUUGCCACCCAGCCCAUUGGCGAUCUCUAGUUUCCGUCCUCCAAAUAUUAUCUUGUAUUUGGUACAUUACAAGAAUUAAGAAUCAGGAUCGAGUUAACUAAAUGAUUAGAUACAAAUUUAUAUUUAAUUUCAGAAUAUAUGAAUGUAUACAAAUUAAAAUAUAUUAAUGUUAUAAUA
rnacentral:lncRNA from 1 species